AGUGAACGCUGGCGGUAGGCCUAACACAUGCAAGUCGAACGGCACCACAGGAGAGCUUGCUCUCGGGGUGGCGAGUGGCGGACGGGUGAGGAAUACAUCGGCAUCUACUUUUUCGUGGGGGAUAACGUAGGGAAACUUACGCUAAUACCGCAUACGACCUACGGGUGAAAGCAGGGGACCUUCGGGCCUUGCGCGAUUGAAUGAGCCGAUGUCGGAUUAGCUAGUUGGCGGGGUAAAGGCCCACCAAGGCGACGAUCCGGAGCUGGUCUGAGAGGAUGAUCAGCCACACUGGAACUGAGACACGGUCCAGACUCCUACGGGAGGCAGCAGUGGGGAAUAUUGGACAAUGGGCGCAAGCCUGAUCCAGCCAUACCGCGUGGGUGGAGAAGGCCUUCGGGUUGUAAAGCCCUUUUGUUGGGAAAGAAAUCCAGCUGGCUAAUACCCGGUUGGGAUGACGGUACCCAAAGAAUAAGCACCGGCUAACUUCGUGCCAGCCGCCGCAGUAA
rnacentral:rRNA from 1 species